UACAGAGGUCCCAAGCGUUGUUCGGAUUCAUUGGGCGUAAAGGGUGCGUAGGCGGCGCGGUAAGUCGGGUGUGAAAUCUCGGAGCUUAACUCCGAAACCGCAUUCGAUACUGCCGUGCUUGAGGACUGGAGAGGAGACUGGAAUUUACGGUGUAGCGGUGAAAUGCGUAGAUAUCGUAAGGAAGACCAGUGGCGAAGGCGGGCCUCUGGACAGUUCCUGACGCUGAGGCACGAAGGCCAGGGGAGCAAACGGG
rnacentral:rRNA from 1 species